rnacentral:rRNA from 1 species
UACGGAGGGUGCAAGCGUUGUCCGGAUUUAUUGGGUUUAAAGGGUGCGUAGGCGGCUUUUUAAGUCAGUGGUGAAAGACAACAGCUCAACUGUUGCAGUGCCAUUGAUACUGAAGAGCUUGAGUACAGAUGAGGUAGGCGGAAUUUAUGGUGUAGCGGUGAAAUGCAUAGAUACCAUAAAGAACACCUAUUGCGAAGGCAGCUUACUAAGCUGCAACUGACGCUGAGGCACGAAAGUGUGGGGAUCAAACAGG